UGCUACAAUGCAUCCUAGAAUAUCAAUUGUUACAGUAAUUUCCACACAUAAAAGAUAUCUGGUUGGAUAGUGUCACGAUUUAUGUGUUAUUCUAUUAAAAUAGUCCUUAAAUAAGAGAUUUGCACUGACAGCUACCCAUUGACGUAGGAGAAGGUUUCAAAUUCUUCAUCGAAACCACCUGUCCAUAUGACUGGUAGUGGUAGGCCUAAUGCUCCUCCAUACCGUCUUCCAGUUCUUCCAAUGGACGAUGAUGAAAUCUCAUCCAAAGUUCUUCUAGCAGUUGAACUUUGCUAAUUGAAGCUGCAAAAGGAACUUCGAUAGAUCAGCAUUACGAGGCACAACAGUGAAAGCCCCAUGUUUACCUUUUCCACGGUGAGUAUGUAGUGACUAUGUGAUCUCUCUUAUGCAUUUAUGCAUUUAAUUUGACUGAAUGCUUCUAUGAAAAGAACAUUUGGAUGGGCUAAAGCAUGCUGAAGUAGUUUGCAUGGUGUUUACAAUUACAUACUAGAUCAUUAGCCUUUACCAUGUGAUGCAUGCUAAAACUUUGAUGAUAAGUAGAUACCCCCACUAUGAUCUCAAACAUGUUCAGUUCAGCACGCCGGAACAGAAAGCACGCCACAGUGGUCCUUGUCAAAUUCGACGCCUUCUGCCAACAGAGUCAAACAAGACUGCAUGCUUACUCCUCUUGGCGAACCUCCUUCACCAAGAGCUGCACAUGUAGCAACUGCUGUUGAACCAUGGUGGUCAUUCAGGGUGGAAUUGGUCCAGCUGGCUUAUCCGCUGAGGACCUUCAUGUUCUUGAUCUUAAACAACAACGACCGCGAUGGCAUAGAGUGGUGGUUCAAGGUCCUGGUCCAUGGUAUGGAUAUGUGAUGGCCUUGGUUGGUCAACGAUUCUUAUUGACAAUUGGUGGCAAUGAUGGAAAACGACCCCCGGCAGAUGUAUGGGCCCUUGAUACUGCGGCCAAGCCAUAUGAAUGGAGAAAACUUGAACCGGAAGGUGAAGGGCCACCACCAUGCAUGUAAGUGCCCCAGUAAUACUGAGGAAACUUUACUCCUUUUAGAUUCUACUUAAAUCAUUGAGCUUAAGAGUAACUCCAAGAGUUUCUAUAUCCUUAUUGAUAGAAAUAGAGAUUUUGGUCCUCCAACAGCUUCUUUAACUAGAUGUCCAAAUAUUGCUAUCCUCUAUUUUAGAUUUCUGGCUAGGCAAAGAUGCAGAGCUAUAUUGACUCUAGAGUGUGCACAAGAUAUAGAAAAACUGUUGGAAGAUGAAAAUAUAGAGAGGGAUUUUUCUCUCCAAAUGAUGAUUUAGAGAGUGAGUUUAAAGAAGACUCUUGGAGAUGCCUUCAGUUUCGUGGCUUGAUGAUGCUGCAUACAUUAAUGAGCUGCUUUUGAUUCACAUUAAAUUGCUUCAUAAUUUCUAAUAAAGCUCCCAGUGCUUCAUAAUUUGUAAUAAACCUCUGGGGAGAUGGAGACGGAGGUGAGUGCGGCGCGGGACGUUAUGGCCAUGAAGGAUCACAUAGAUCUCGAGGCCUCGCAGUCGCAGUAGCCCAGGAAGCUGCCGCCAAGGACCUCAAGGAGAUCGCCGGGAGCUUCUGGCUUGCCGCCUCAAUGUUCAGCAAGAAGUGGCAGAAGUGGAGGGGCAAGCAGAAGCUCAAGAAGCAGGAGGCCGUCUCAAUUUGAAGUCUACUAACAUAUCCUUGCACAUAGAAAUUGUAUGAUACACCUGGAGUCCACCUUCACCAUAGAACAUGUGUCUGAUUGAAUUCUACACCAGUUCUUGGAAGAGAAAGCCUCACCAAGUCAUCAUCUCCAGGAACGAUGUUAGUGAAAGUCAAUUUAAUCUGGUGCUGAACAUUGAGUUGCAACAAAUUAUCGAUGGAGACUGAGUCACCGCAGCUAGAAACCACUGUCUCAAGGUGAUGAACAUUGAGUUGCAACAAAUCAUCAAUGGAGACCAAGUCACUACAGUCAGAAACCACUGUCUCAAUUUGAGGAGAUUUUCCAUCUAUGUUUGUUAGAAGGUAUAAUGCCUAUUUAUCUCUUGUAUUCGAACAUUUGGCAAUUAAGAAAUAGAAGAUUACUUCCCCAAUAUCCUUUCUUCCUAAUAUCACCUUUUACGGCUUCUGGGGAACAAUCACUUGGUAUUACCGACUGACAUGUCCAUUCAUAUGUGAGAUAUUGGGUUGAUAUAUAUGUUGUUCAUUUCCAUGUAAUUGUUGUGC